UACGAAGGGUGCAAGCGUUCAUCGGAAUCACUGGGUUUAAAGGGUGCGUAGGUGGUCCGUUAAGUCAGUUGUGAAAUCCCCGGGCUCAACUCGGGAACUGCUUCUGAUACUGGCGGACUUGAGGCCAGUAGGGGUCACUAGAACUGACGGUGGAGCGGUGAAAUGCGUAGAUAUCGUCAGGAAUGCCGGUGGUGAAGACGGGUGACUGGGCUGGUUCUGACACUGAGGCACGAAAGCGUGGGGAGCGAACGGG
rnacentral:rRNA from 1 species